GCUAAACGCGAAGAACCUUACCAAGGCUUGACAUACACCAGAACACCCUAGAAAUAGGGGACUCUUUGGACACUGGUGAACAGGUGGUGCAUGGUUGUCGUCAGCUCGUGUCGUGAGAUGUUGGGUUAAGUCCCGCAACGAGCGCAACCCUCGUUCUAUGUUGCCAGCACGUAAUGGUGGGAACUCAUGGGAUACUGCCGGGGUCAACUCGGAGGAAGGUGGGGAUGACGUCAAAUCAUCAUGCCCCUUAUGUCUUGGGCUUCACGCAUGCUACAAUGGCCGGUACAAAGGGCUGCAAUACCGUGAGGUGGAGCGAAUCCCAAAAAGCCGGUCCCAGUUCGGAUUGAGGUCUGCAACUCGACCUCAUGAAGUCGAAGUCGCUAGUAAUCGCAGAUCAGCAACGCUGCGGUGAAUACGUUCCCGGGUCUUGUACACACCG
rnacentral:rRNA from 1 species